rnacentral:rRNA from 1 species
GUCUUUUAGAAUUUAAUUUAAAGUCCGAUCUGCCCAAUGAUUAUUUUAAUGGCCGCGGUAUUUUGACCGUGCAAAGGUAGCAUAAUAAUUAGUUUUUUAAAUGGAAACUGGAAUGAAUGAUUAGACGAGAAUUAAGCUGUCUCUGUUUUAAUAAUAUAAUUUUAUUUUUAAGUUAAAAAGCUUAAAUAUUUUAAAAAGACGAGAAGACCCUAUAGAUUUUUAUAUUUUAUCUGAUAAAAUUGAUUUUGUAUAUUUUAGUUUUUUUGAUAUUUAUUUGGUUGGGGUGAUUGGAAAAUUUAUUUAACUUUUCUUUUUUUUUAUACAUUAAUUUAUGAAUUUUUGAUCCAAUAUUUUUGAUUAUAAGAUUAAAUUACCUUAGGGAUAACAGCGUUAUUUUUCUUAAAAGUUCUUAUUUGUGGAAAAGUUUGCGACCUCGAUGUUGGAUUAAAAUUUAUUAUUAAUGCAGGAGUUAAAUAAUUAAGUCUGUUCGACUUUUAAAAUUUU